UACAGAGGGGGCAAGCGUUGUUCGGAAUUACUGGGCGUAAAGGGCGCGUAGGCGGCCUGCUAAGUCGAACGUGAAAUCCCCGGGGCUCAACCCCGGAACUGCAUCCGAUACUGCGUGGCUAGAGGUAGGUAGGGGAGAUCGGAAUUCCUGGUGUAGCGGUGAAAUGCGCAGAUAUCAGGAGGAACACCGGUGGCGAAGGCGGAUCUCUGGGCCUUACCUGACGCUCAGGCACGAAAGCUAGGGGAGCGAACAGG
rnacentral:rRNA from 1 species